UUUUUUUUUUUCCUGGAAGAACCUUCAUCUAACUGACAGAAUUUCAGAGUGGGAACGGACACGAGGGUCUCUCUCAGAGGCCUGAAGAUGUUCUUCAACAUCUGCAAGUGACAAGGAGGCCACCCUGCUCUUUGUAGGAUGACAAAAAGUCUGCCGACAAGUCUGGAUUCUACCACCUGAAGUCAAGGAGACAGGUGCCUUCCAAAUGACCCCCCUCCUAUCACCAUAUCUCUAUCCCACCACAUGUGCUAGGCUUUCCACGUCGGUCUGUUCCAGGUUGUGAGCUUCUACCUUGGCUGGGCCAAGCAGACUCCGUACCAUGACUGGAAUUCCAGAUCCUGAAGUGUCAUUAUUGUCAAACUAAAAUCAUGUUAGCUGCCUUGGUGGCUUUAACACACUGUGGACUCACUGAGGUUUGUAAUACAUUAAGCUGUGUUUCCCAGCCCCUGCCUUCUCUGGGGCUUUUCUACUUGUCCCCAUUCGAUGGGUCCCUAUCAAGAUCUUUCUGAAUCCCCGUCAUCGUAGUCAUUUAAUGAGAUGUGAAACCACUGUUAGUAAAAUCUAGCUUACCUCUCAUCACCAUGUCAAUUUGGUUUUCCAAAGAGGAGGUGGAUGUGGGGUGAGGGGGUGUGGGGUUUCUCCCUUAAUUUCCCCUUUAUUUUUCCAAACGAGUUAUGGGGAGGAGAAGGCCACCCAAACUAUUUCUUUGUUUUCCACCUUCCAUGGAUAAAAUAUUUACCAUUCCCCACUCUGAAGAAGAAUUUAGAUCUUUCUUCCAAGUCUCCAGGAAACUCUCCCAGACCCAGCACAUCCCGAUGCGAAAGCUAAGUUAGUGAUCUUCUGAUCCACCUCCAGAUACUUGGUCUCCUUCUCCUAACUGCUCAAGCUCCAAGGGAACAAUGAAACAUUUAAGCUCUGUCCCUGCCCAAGCCCAGGAAACAGACACGUUUCUCUAAACAGGUAUUAAUGCCAUUCUGAACAUCUGGUUCUCUCCCUAGCUUUUCCAACCUCAGCAAAACUAGAAAAAGCCCCAGGGUGCUCUAAGGCGAUACAUCAUACACUUAUUUAUGUGAUCAACAAACAUCCACGGAGGAUCAGUCUAGGUUAUCAGAGAGCAGGGGCAGAGCAUUCCUGGAAGGUGAAGUCUGAGGAAGAUUUUAAAUUCAGAUGAGAUUAAAGAAAAGUCAAGAGUCUGGCUUCAUGUACAAACGCAGUAUUUUACAACUUUAAAAUUCAAGUGAGAUCAAAGAAAAAUCUAGAUUGUGGCCUCAGGUGUCUAAGGAGAAGGGCAGAACCACAGGCCAUUCUAAUCAAAGGCCUCUAUAGGUGGAGUCCCACAGGUGGGAUCUGCCGCUUAGUUUCCUAGAUACGAGUUUGUGAAAUAGCCUCGAGGGCCAAUAUUUAGAACACAACCAUUUAGAUAAAGUUAAAUGAGGAAAGAAGAGGAGAAAUGAGAAGAUCAUUUGGAGUGUUACAUACAUUUAUGCAACCUGAGAUAAAAAGCCAUAUUAUUGAAGCACAUACUUCCUUAUUUCAAAAGUGUCGGCUGCCUUCCUUUUCUGACUGCCCUCUGAGUUCACCUCACUGUCCAGUUUGGCUCUUCGGCUCCUCCAUCAUCAGUAUAAAUGAAUGAAAUUCUCUCUGACCUUGACUUGAAGAUGCUUCUCUUU